rnacentral:rRNA from 2 species
UGGGGAAUUUUGGACAAUGGGGGCAACCCUGAUCCAGCAAUGCCGCGUGAGUGAAGAAGGCCUUCGGGUUGUAAAGCUCUUUUGUCAGGGAAGAAACAGCAGCUCUAACACAGUCUGCGAAUGACGGUACCUGAAGAAUAAGCACCGGCUAACUACGUGCCAGCAGCCGCGGUAAUACGUAGGGUGCGAGCGUUAAUCGGAAUUACUGGGCGUAAAGCGUGCGCAGGCGGUUAUACAAGACAGGCGUGAAAUCCCCGGGCUUAACCUGGGAAUGGCGCCUGUGACUGUAUAGCUAGAGUGUGUCAGAGGGGGGUAGAAUUCCACGUGUAGCAGUGAAAUGCGUAGAUAUGUGGAGGAAUACCAAUGGCGAAGGCAGCCCCCUGGGAUAACACUGACGCUCAUGCACGAAAGCGUGGGGAGCAAACAGGAUUAGAUACCCUGGUAGUCCACGCCCUAAACGAUGCUGACUAGUUGUUGGGAAUUUACAUUCUCAGUAACGUAGCUAACGCGUGAAGUCAGCCGCCUGGGGAGUACGGUCGCAAGAUUA